AUUGAACGCUGGCGGCAUGCCUUACACAUGCAAGUCGAACGGUAACAGGUCUUCGGAUGCUGACGAGUGGCGAACGGGUGAGUAAUACAUCGGAACGUGCCUAGUAGUGGGGGAUAACUACUCGAAAGAGUGGCUAAUACCGCAUGAGAUCUACGGAUGAAAGCAGGGGAUCGCAAGACCUUGUGCUACUAGAGCGGCCGAUGGCAGAUUAGGUAGUUGGUGGGAUAAAAGCUUACCAAGCCGACGAUCUGUAGCUGGUCUGAGAGGACGAUCAGCCACACUGGGACUGAGACACGGCCCAGACUCCUACGGGAGGCAGAAGUGGGGAAUUUUGGACAAUGGGCACAAGCCUGAUCCAGCAAUGCCGCGUGCAGGAUGAAGGCCUUCGGGUUGUAAACUGCUUUUGUACGGAACGAAAAGCUCUGGGUUAAUACCCUGGGGUCAUGACGGUACCGUAAGAAUAAGCACCGGCUAACUACGUGCCAGCCGCCGCCGUAA
rnacentral:rRNA from 1 species